AGAGUUUGAUCAUGGCUCAGAACGUACGCUGGCGGCACGCCUAACACAUGCAAGUCGAACGAAGUAGCAAUACUUAGUGGCAGACGGGUGAGUAACAUGUAGGUAUCUGCCCUUUGGCCUGGAAUAACACGAGGAAACUUGUGCUAAUACCGGAUAAGUCUUUACGGAGAAAGCUUUAUGCACCAUUGGAUGAGCCUGCACUUGAUUAGUUUGUUGGUGGGGUAAUGGCCUACCAAGACUGUGAUCAAUAGCUGAUUUGAGAGGAUGAUCAGCCACAUUGGGACUGAGACACGGCCCAAACUCCUACGGGAGGCAGCAGUGGGGAAUCUUGCACAAUGGAGGAAACUCUGAUGCAGCGAUGCCGCGUGAGUGGAGAAGGCCUUUGGGUUGUAAAGCUCUUUCGUCGGGGAAGAAAAUGACUGUACCCGAAUAAGAAGGUCCGGCUAACUUCGUGCCAGCCGCCGCGGUAAUAC
rnacentral:rRNA from 1 species